GUUGUAAGGUUAAGAAAUUAAGCGUACACGGUGGAUGCCUAGGCAAUCAGAGGCGAAGAAGGACGUGUUAAUCUGCGAAAAGCGACGGUAAGCCGAUAAAAGGCGCUAUAGCCGUUGAUGUCCGAAUGGGGAAACCCAGUGUAGGUGACUACACUAUCAUAUAAUGAAUUCAUAGUUAUAUGAGGCGAACCGGGAGAACUGAAACAUCUAAGUACCCCGAGGAAAAGAAAUCAACCGAGAUUCCCUAAGUAGCGGCGAGCGAAAGGGGAGGAGCCCAAGCGGGUAGCAUGAUGUAUUAGUGGAAGCGUCUGGAAAGUCGCACGAUAGAGGGUGAAAGUCCCGUACAUGAAAAUGCAUGAUGUGGAAGCUUAUAGAGUAGGGCGGGACACGUGAUAUCCUGUCUGAAGAAGGGGGGACCAUCCUCCAAGGCUAAAUACUCCUGAUUGACCGAUAGUGAACCAGUACCGUGAGGGAAAGGCGAAAAGAACCCCGGGAGGGGAGUGAAAUAGACCCUGAAACCGUGUACGUACAAUCAGUGGGAGCUGUUGCCGUUGGGUAAUAGUGACUGCGUACCUUUUGUAUAAUGGGUCAGCGACUUAUAUUCUGUAGCGAGGUUAACCGAAUAGGGGAGCCGAAGGGAAACCGAGUAUUAACUGUGCGUUAAGUUGCAGGGUAUAGACCCGAAACCCGGUGAUCUAGCCAUGGGCAGGUUGAAGGUUGGUUAACACUAACUGGAGGACCGAACCGACUAAUGUUGAAAAAUUAGCGGAUGACCUGUGGCUGGGGGUGAAAGGCCAAUCAAACCGGGAGAUAGCUGGUUCUCCCCGAAAGCUAUUUAGGUAGCGCCUCAUGAGUAACUGUUGGGGGUAGAGCACUGUUUCGGCUAGGGGGCCAUCCCGGCUUACCAACCCGAUGCAAACUCCGAAUACUGACAAGUUUAAUCAUGGGAGACACACGGCGGGUGCUAACGUUCGUCGUGAAGAGGGAAACAACCCAGACCGCCAGCUAAGGUCCCAAAGUCAUAGUUAAGUGGGAAACGAAGUGGGAAGGCUUAGACAGCUAGGAUGUUGGCUUAGAAGCAGCCAUC
rnacentral:rRNA from 1 species